rnacentral:rRNA from 1 species
UAUCUGCAGUCGACGCGUCCUCGCUGAUGAAGUUGAAGUGCUUGCACGGAUUCUGAUUCAACAUUUGGACGAGUGGCGAACUGGUGAGUAACACGUGGGUAACCUGCCCUCAAGCAGGGGAUAACACUUGGAAACAGGUGCUAAUACCGUAUAACAAUGAAAACCGCAUGGUUUUCAUUUGAAAGAUGGUUUCGGCUAUCACUUGAGGAUGGACCCGCGGCGUAUUAGCUAGUUGGUGAGGUAACGGCUCACCAAGGCAAUGAUACGUAGCCGACCUGAGAGGGUAAUCGGCCACAUUGGGACUGAGACACGGCCCAAACUCCUACGGGAGGCAGCAGUAGGGAAUCUUCCACAAUGGACGAAAGUCUGAUGGAGCAACGCCGCGUGAGUGAAGAGGGGUUUCGGCUCGUAAAACUCUGUUGUUAAAGAAGAACAGGUGUAAGAGUAACUGUUUACACCGUGACGGUAUUUAACCAGAAAGCCACGGCUAACUACGUGCCAGCAGCCGCGGUAAUACGUAGGUGGCAAGCGUUGUCCGGAUUUAUUGGGCGUAAAGCGAGCGCAGGCGGUCUUUUAAGUCUGAUGUGAAAGCCUUCGGCUUAACCGGAGAAGUGCAUCGGAAACUGGGAG